rnacentral:rRNA from 1 species
GUACCGUGAGGGAAAGGUGAAAAGAACCCUGGUGAAGGGAGUGAAAUAGAACCUGAAACCGUAUGCCUACAAGCAGUCAGAGCCUUGAAGCAAUUUGGGGUGAUGGCGUGCCUUUUGAUUAAUGAGCCGGCGAGUUACUGGCUGUAGCAAGGUUAAGCGCCUCAGGCGCGGAGCCGCAGGGAAACCGAGUCUUAACAGGGCGAAUGAGUUACAGUUAGUAGACCCGAAGCCAGGUGACCUACCCAUGGUCAGGGUGAAGCGAAGGUAAGACUUCGUGGAGGCCCGAACCGGUGUUUGUUGCAAAAAGCUCGGAUGAACUGUGGGUCGGAGCGAAAGACUAAUCAAACCUGGUGAUAGCUGGUUCUCCCCGAAAUGUAUUUAGGUACAGCCUCUAAGUAGUCGUAGGGGGGUAGGGCACUGGAUGGGUUAGGGCCUCGAAUGGGGUACCAAACCCAACCAAACCACGAAUACCCUAUUGAUGUUCUUAGGGAGUGAGACUGCGGGUGCUAAGAUUCGUAGUCGAGAGGGAAACAGCCCAGACCGUCAGCUAAGGUCCCUAAAGGUGUUCUAAGUGGGAAAGGAUGUAGUGUUGCUUAGACAGCCAGGAUGUUGGCUUAGAAGCAGCCAUCAUUUAAAGAAAGCGUAAUAGCUCACUGGUCAAGCGACACUGCGCCGAAAAUUUAACGGGGCUUAAGUACACUACCGAAGCUACGGAUUCCCGCAAGGGAGUGGUAGGGGAGCAUUCUGCGGACCUGUGAAGGUGAGGCGUGAGCCUUGCUGGAGGGGGCAGAAGAGAUUAUGCCGGCAUAAGUAGCGCAAAUCCUGAUGAAAAGUCAGGACGCCGUAAACCUAAGGUUUCCUGGGGAAGGGAAAUCCGCCCAGGGUUAGUCGGGCCUAAGGCGAGGCCGAAAGGCGUAGCCGAUGGACAACUGGUUAACAUUCCAGUACCAUCUUGUAUGUGUUUGACCGAAGGGGGGACGCAGAAGGACAGUCUGAGCCUGGUGAUGGUUCAGGUCCAAGCACUUAGGCUGGUGAGUAGGUAAAUCCGCUCACCAUUAAAGCUGAUGUGUGAUGGGGAAGCCCGUAAGGGUGAACUCAGGCGAUUCCACACUGACGAGAAAAACCUCGUAGGGAAUAUACAGGAUGACCGUACCGCAAACCGACACUGGUAGGUGAGUAGAAGAUACUAAGGCGAUCGAGAGAACCCUCGCUAAGGAACUCGGCAAAAUAACCCCGUAACUUCGGGAGAAGGGGUCCCCGCGCAAGCGGGGCGCAGUGAAGAGGCCCAGGCGACUGUUUACCAAAAACACAGGUGCCUGCUAACUCGUAAGAGGAUGUAUAGGCACUGACGCCUGCCCGGUGCCGGAAGGUUAACAGGAGGGGUCAUCCGCAAGGAGAAGCCCUGAAUCGAAGCCCCGGUAAACGGCGGCCGUAACUAUAACGGUCCUAAGGUAGCGAAAUUCCUUGUCGGGUAAGUUCCGACCUGCACGAAUGGCGUAACGAUCUGGGCGCUGUCUCGGCGAGGGGCUCGGCGAACUUGAGAUACCGGUGAAGACGCCGGUUACCCGCAACUAGACGGAAAGACCCUGUGCACCUUUACUAUAGCUUGACAGUGAGUUUUGGUGAUAAAUGUGUAGGAUAGGUGGGAGGCUUUGAGGCGUGGGCGCUAGUUCACGCGGAGCCGUCCUUGAAAUACCACCCUUAUCUUACUGGGGCUCUAACCUGUCCCCGUGAUCCGGGGAAGGGACACUGUCUGGUGGGUAGUUUGACUGGGGCGGUCGCCUCCUAAAGAGUAACGGAGGCGUCCAAAGGUCUCCUCAGGCUGGACGGAAACCAGCCGUUGAGUGCAAAGGCAUAAGGUAGCUUGACUGCGAGACCCACAAGUCGAGCAGAAACGAAAGUUGGUCUUAGUGAUCCGGCGGUCCCGCAUGGAAGGGCCGUUGCUCAACGGAUAAAAGGUACG